GAAAGAUAUUUGGUGUUCGUAAGUUGCCGUCCCGGAGGCUAAAUUUGGCAUGCAAAACAAACGGCUUCUGCUUGCAUUCUGCUGCCGUUCUGUUAUUUUAGUUAGGAUUUUCGGCAUUUCUUUCACAGAUUUGGAUCGGGGAUUCUGUACAUUUUGCUCUGGCGUUUAGUACGAGAGUAGCCAGAUUGAUCCCCGGAGAUGUCGUUGUUUGCCUUGCGUGCAGGCAGUGUCCAGGAGCCGAAAUACGAAGGAGAGGACCUGAAUGAAGAUGGAGAACCAUUCAGCCAGUGGUCAUAUCUCCCAGAUCUUAUUUUAGAGCAAGUUUUUGCUCACCUCAGUAUAAGUGAGCGCUAUGCAGCUUCCCAAGUGUGUAGGAAUUGGUACUAUGCUUUUUACCUCCCAAACACUUGGUCAACAUUUGUGCUUUCUGACACAACUUUGACAAGGCGUAAAUACAAUUAUUAUUCAGGAUGGCAGCAUAUCCUGGACCAUGUAAGGAUGUCCCAAUGUCUCUGCAAAGUAGGAUUCAAUUUCAGAAGUCUGAUUUUUGAGCCUAUGCUUAAUUUUUACAAUCUAUUUGAGUUUAUGAAUAUGAUGUCAUUUUUCACGGAGCAACAAGGACUAGACAAUACAACUGUGAGUGGUGUUGGUUCAAAGGUUCAUACUCUACGCUUCACAUUUCCAUGUAACAUGGCUGCAGAUGAUAGGGAAAGGUGUCGACUUUAUGGAACUGGAGGUAAAUUAUUGGAAGCACUAAAACGGUUGAUGGGAAAUCUAGUAUCCCUUCAAUAUUUAGAGCUGCGAGACCUUAUGCUGGACAUCACUGAGGGUCAAACUCUUUUAGAUGAAGUGUGUGCAACUUGUAGUCUCACCCUGAAAGAAUUAAUCCUUGUAAAUGCUACAGAAGCACCUUGUCAACUUUUACAUGUUGGAAUUUUCCUUAAUUUACAGGUUUUGGUUAUUAGCCCUCAGAAUUUGGGAGAGGAUGUUUUGUCUCUCAUAGGACAGACUAGGCUUCGUCAUCUGCAUAUUUUACAAAACCGUUUCACUCCCUCUGAGUUAAUCCUACUCCCUGUAUCAGGAAGAGCCUGGCAGCUUUGCCGCAAAUCCAACACACACUUGUCUGUUCACUUGGAACUUGAAUCUCCAAGAGAAAGAGAAGUCAUAUGGCAGGAAAGAGCUCCAGUUAGAUCCAUCAUUUACAAUUCUCCCCUAGCAAAGGUCCAAUCAGAGUCAAUAAUGACUACAAUUGAUCUGUAUGCUAAAGACCUGAGAGCGUAUGGGCACCUAGGACUUCCUCGAUUCCAUCGCUCGAGGUCUUUCCAUGAUAGAGUGGAUGCCCUGCUCCUCCUCCUUGUCCGACAGUCUGUGUGGCUCCACACCUUGGUAAUAGGAAUGCUAAGAAUACACCUUGCCCUGAGCUGUUGUCUGCAUCCUUUAUGAUGGCAUUGUUGUACCUGUUGACCUCUGCUCUUAGUGUGCCUAGCAUGGCUUUCAUGCCCCACUCACUAACACAUUAUGCCUUUCCUAUAUUGUCCGGGAACGUGUGUCAACUGCAACUGUCUUACUUCUAGCUAAAGCUGGUAGAAAUUUAAAAAACUUUGUCAUCCGACGUAAUGCUGUGAUUCUUCGCUGUGAUUGGCCUAGAAGCCCAGACUGGGAUGAUGA
rnacentral:misc_RNA from 1 species